UCUUGAUUAUUAGGCUAGGAAAUUCUUCACCUCCUUUACAAGUUUCAUUCUUAUUUUCUUUUUUCUUAUUAAUAAAUCUAGCUAUUAACAGUCUUAUGACUUAAUGGUUAAUGACAAUUGUUGGUGAUACCCAUUUUAACCAUUACAAUUUUUGGCAACCACGAAGGGACAAUGAAUAUUCUCAUUUUCUUCAGUACUUUUUUUCUUUCCCAAAGUUAUUCUUGAUUAGGCUUGUUAGUAACUAUAUUCUAGAGUUAGGAAUUUUUAUUCCUCUUUAAGUUUGUAGAGCAGAUUGGAAUAGAUGGGGACAGAUUAGCUUCAUAGCUACAGUUGUUGGUCUAGUGCUAUGGAGCAGUUUGGAAGCUCUUUUUUCGCUCUUUUUUCGUUCUACAGCUGUGCUGCUAUUGCCUCCUGACUACUACUGAUUCCCUGAGAGUUCUGCACAGACAGCAACAAUCAUCUCCUUUAGGACUUCACCUGUGGGGAUUCUUUCACUUCUCUGCCUUCAAGCUUGGAAAGGAUACCCUACCCCUAAGAGCUACUAUCUCACAGCCCAGAACUCUGCUCCUAGGAGUCCAUUUUUUCUUUGAGGUUUUUCUUGAGCCCCCACAUGCUUCUAGCAUUGACUUAAGUGUGGAGGUGGAGCACUUAGGGAGAGCAGCAAUAAAGAUGAAUAAAAAUGCUCCCUUAAACCUCCAUUAAGCUUUCAGAGUCCACUAAGUGAAAAAUCCCAACAGCCCACAGCCUGUGCUUUACACUCAAAACUUGUGACUCUGUUAGCUAAACUCAGGCUAUGCCCUGAAGGUUUCACCAAUCUACCUAAAUAGAUGACUAAGUAUGGUGCUGAAAAUCAUGGCCCACUCUGUGAAAGAUCAGUUUCCUGCCCAUCUCAAACAGUGUAAAAUGUACUUCAAUGUCUGUUAAAUGAGAGAGUGGACUAGAAGACUUCUUUGAUCAUUCCUAGACCUUUCAGACCCUACCUGGAGUUAAUUGGAGAACUAAUUACUUGAAUUAGUCAAAGAUACUUAAUUUCAUUGAUAUUAUGACAUGAUGUACAUUGGAUUAGACUAUGGAUCCCUGUAGAGUAUAAGCUAU
rnacentral:lncRNA from 1 species